UUAUGAUCUUAUAAACCCAUAGAGAGAUUUUUCUACAACUAGAUAGCAGAGGUUUAGAUUUCUGAAAUCCUUCACUCCUAGGAAUAGGAGUUAUGGUUGGAAAUAGGAGAUGUUGAGAUGCUCAGAGGUUUGGGUUGCUAUCUUAUCUCUGCAGGUGGGUCACAGCUGAUUGACAUAGUGCUCUGCAUGGGAUGGCAUAUGAUUAAGUAACUAUGACUUGGUUAAAAUGCACUAAUUCAAUUUAUUUAUUAAUCUAAUGUAUAAAUGAAUAAGAACAACAAAUUGUAAAGAUGAUGUUACAUCCUCAAAAUCAGAUUUUUCUCAAAGUAAAUACCAUGGGAUUUCAGCUCUGUAGACUGUCUGCAAAAUAAUGAUGAAGAAGAUAAUGACUAGGAUGAGCAUGAGGAUUAUUUGGAUCAUCUAUUGCUUUAUAACAAAUUGCACCAAACCUAUAAGAACUCAGUAGCAACUACAGGAUGGAGGUCUGUGGGAGGAAGAGCAAUCUACAGGUGAAAAGCAGGUGCCCAGAGACCAGUUUACAGGCUUAUUGUGUCUUCAAAAUCCUUUGGAAUUUUUUUUAGUGAGUUUCCCAGAAGUGAAAAGAGAUUGUAACUUGGAUAUGAUAAAGGUACUCAGGAUGAUGUCACUAUUGUACAUUCGAUAUUUCUUCUGGAGCCAUGAGCAUCUGCUAGAAAUCAAACAAUCCAUUGGAAACUCACUAAAAUGUGCAGCACUUUCAACUUCAUAACUUGGCUCCUUUCUUCCUAUGAACAAUGGCAAAAACUCUGCAUAGUAAAGGAGAUACUUGUGAAAGGUUUAAACACAGACAUCAAAACUGUAUAGAAACAGAGGCAUCUUCAGAAGAAUGUUAGGUAAGUUAUGCUCAAAAAUCAUUUAAAAGUCAACCUACCUACAAGCACUCACAAGGUAAACAAAGUUAACAGCUGUCCAAGUACGACAAAAAUAAGGUCUUUAAUUUUUUCAGAAUACAUGUAUUGAUAUAUUAUUACUAGAAAAGUGUUUUUUAACUACAGCCUAGAAAAACAAUACCAUUCGUAUGAGAGCAUGAAUCUCAAAGUCUGUGCCCUGGACCAGCAGCAUCAGCAUCAUUUUAGAAAUUAUCUAGCCAUACAAAAUCACAGGUCCUCACCCUAGAGCUAUUGCAUCAGAACCCAGGGAGAAGCUCAUAAUCUGUGUAGUAAUAAGCUCUUUAGACAAUCCUGAUGCAUAAUGAAGUUAUAAACUGCUAGUUUAAGUGAUCAAAAAAAGUUACUGAAAGUGGCACAGAGG
ensembl:lncRNA